AUUUAACAAAAGUUGGGGGGCUCACUGGGGAUGUUACUUUGUGGUUAAGUGCCCCUGGGUUCAAUCCAUGGUAUCCCCAAAAAAGGAAAAAUAUAAUAGUGAGAUCCUUGAUUACCUUUCCAGGAUGCUUUAGUCUGAAAAUAAUAUGGAUCCUACUCACACAGUCAUGAGGACAUUGUCCAGUGGUAGAUUCAGGCUCAACUUAAACCAGUUUUCUUACCCUCUGACUAUAUUCCCUCUGUUUUUAGCAUCAUCUCAUACUUGGCUGUCUCAUCUCAUGAUUUCAAGAUGGCCACAGGUGUUUUUAGGGCCCUCUUCUUUCCCACCACCAAGAAAAGAAUGCAAGUCCCUGACAAGUUUCCUGAACCUUCCUAGUUGAUAGAAUGAAUAUUGGAGUGGGACGGAGGAGUAAACUUCCAACAGCUGCUACAUUUUCUACCAACCUGGAAGGGUCUUUUUUUUAAAUUAUUUUUUAAUUUAUAUAGAGUAAAAUUCACUCUUUUGGUGUGUAGUUCUCUGAAUUCUGACAGAUGCAGAAGAGUCAUGUGGUCACUGUAAUCAAGACUGGGGAUAAUCCAUUACCCCGCCCCUUAGAAAUUUGCUUGUGCUCCCUUUUGUAGUCCUCUACCCACCACUUACCCUGACUCCUACUCCCCCACACUAGGAACCACUGAACCAUGGAUCUGAGACACCAAUUCUUCUUCCCCCAUGGUUGUGAAGAUCCUUCAGGAUGUGGCAUAAAUAAAAUCACACAAUAUAUCACCUUUCAAA